CCUACGGGUGGCAGCAGUGAGGAAUAUUGGUCAAUGGACGAGAGUCUGAACCAGCCACGUAGCGUGAAGGAUGACUGCCCUAUGGGUUGUAAACUUCUUUUAUAUGGGAAUAAAUUGUUCCACGUGUGGGAUUUUGUAUGUACCAUAUGAAUAAGGAUCGGCUAACUCCGUGCCAGCAGCCGCGGUAAUACGGAGGAUCCGAGCGUUAUCCGGAUUUAUUGGGUUUAAAGGGUGCGUAGGUGGAUUGUUAAGUCAGUUGUGAAAGUUUGCGGCUCAACCGUAAAAUUGCAGUGGAAACUGGCAGUCUUGAGUACAGUAGAGGUGGGCGGAAUUCGUGGUGUAGCGGUGAAAGGCUUAGAUAUCACAAAGAACUCCGAUUGCGAAGGCAGCUCACUGAACUGCAACUGACACUGAGGCUCGAAAGUGUGGGUAGCAAACAGGAUUAGAUACCCCUGUAGUC
rnacentral:rRNA from 1 species